rnacentral:lncRNA from 1 species
AUGCGGGGCGACCUGCGGCCACGGGGGGCGCGUGUUCCGGGAGCGCGGCGCGGGUGCCGCCGGGUGCCGCCGGGUGCCGCCGGCUGCCAGGGCCCCGAGGGCGCAGGGCGGGUGUCCACGCCGCAAGGAGCAGCUGCGGCGACGCGACGCGGCGCGGCGCGGGCGGGGCGGGCGGGGCGGGCGGGGCGGGCGGGGCGGCUCCCCAGGCGCGGCCAAGAUGGCGCGGGCGCCGCGGGGCUGCGGUCACGUGCCGGGCGGGGCGGGGCGGGGCCUCGGGGAGCGCGCAGGCUCCGCCCCGGGGGUGGGGCAGGCCCUGGGGGCGGGGCGGGGCCUCGGGGAGCGCGCAGGCUCCGCCCCGGGGGUGGGGCCAGGCCCUGGGGGCGGGGCGGGGCCUCGGCGCCGGCGGAGCUGCAGCUGCCUCGGCGCCGGCUCGGCUCGCUCCGGGACGCGGCGGCUCGGCGGGCCGGGGGCGGCUCCUCCCGCUCGGGGCUGCGCCGCCGGCCUCCGGGACUGCAGGCAGGUGAGCGGCCGCGCCCGGUGGGCGACGAUGCCCCGCCCGCCCCAGUCGGGGAGGGUCCGUCUCGCGCGCCCCGCGAGGCCGCCCCCGCUGGCGGAGCUGCCGCCGCCCCCGCCGCCCCCGCCGCCCCGCGCCGGCCUUUGCGGUGCCCCGUGCCCUUGGGGCGAGGCUGGGGCGGAGCAGCCCGGGGGGACGGCCGGGGUCGCGAGCCCCCGGAGCAGGUGGACGGCCCGCGGCCGCGUGUCGCCCGGGUCGGGAAGCGGCACCUCUCGCUGCGGGCCCGCCGCGCUCCGGGGGCGCCCGAGGUGCCGGGGCUCCGCGCUCCCGGGGCCUUGGCGCCGCCCGCCCUGCUCGCGGCUGUGCGGGGGCCCGGGGCGGGGGGGCCGAGGUCGGCCGGGGGCGGGGAGAGUGGGCGCCCCGGAACGCAGGGCGGGCGCGGAGCCUGGCCCCGGGGGCGGGGAGCCGGGGCGACCUCCGGCGGGGACGCUGCGGGGCUGCUGCCUGCUGAGAAGACAGGUCGGGCUGCGGGACCGGAGAUGUAG